CAAUGCUCACUACAGCAUCUCCUCUCCUGUACUGAGAACAGCCUCUGAGGCACAGGAAUCCCACCACCCCCCUGCUGUUAGCUGAUCUUUGUGAUAAGUACUGCCUAACUGGAAUUGCUGUGGUUAGAGGUCCUGGAAUGAGUUAAGUUUGCCUGAAGUGAUCUAGAACUUGCACAGCCAAGUGCCAUGUCCUGCCAUGUCCAUUUCAAUCCCCUGAACCUUAUCUCUGCUCUCUGGGAACAGGCGUGUCACCUACUUACAUUCCCAUCCCACUUUGCUGAGGGAGAAAACCAAACUGCUCAGAAGACUCCAGUAAGAAAUGAAAAUCUCAGGUGAAUGCUUACAGUUUAGUUGAUGUGAUAGUCAGUUUUCUAUGUGGUGAUGAGCCUGGUGAGGAAAGAAAUCAAGACCAGUAACUGAUGUCACCCAGGCUGCUGUGUUGUGACUUCAGAUUCAGAAUGAUGAAGAGCUGAAAUGGUGGCCUGUUACACAGCUUUUCCCCUAAUUUAAGAAGUACCCUUAAGGUUCAGGCUGAUGCAGCAUAGUGAAGGAUGUGCUAAGAGAGCUUGUAUUGUAGAAUUUUAUGUUUAUAAAAUAAAUUAUUAUAGACCUAUGUUACGUCUGGUGAAGUGAAUGGUUCAUUUGAAUACAGAUGCUAAGCGGCACACGAUUCCUCAUUUGUAACACACUAACUGACAGUUCAAUGUUACAUGAAGUGUUCCAGCACUGUGGAACAUUCCCUUAUUCUUAUGACUUCAUUCUCUGGAGAGAACUCAAUAAGCUGUGUCAGAGGAACAUAAAGGGUGAAAGGAAUGGUAGUACCAUUCUUUUAUCACCCAGUACUAUGAACCCUGCAAAAGCCUCUCUUUAUCUCCAUCAGCAGGUUUCAGGCUAUUGUCUGCAAGGGACACCUUGCAAGGGAGUCUGCAAGGCCAGUCUCCAUGGCACUUCUUCCACCCUUCAGGGGCUGCCAUUUGAUGGAAGUAAGGGAAGUGCAGGGAGGGACAGGCAGGAGAUUGUCCACAAGCUUUAAGGUACACUCAGAACUAGGUGACAAAAAACAAGAAGGAUCCACUGGUCUUCUAAUAUUUGUAUUUCACAGAAUUAAUCCUGUGUGUUUUACCUACAAGGAAGAAACCUGAGAUUUCAGAAAUGAUUAAGGGGUCAUACUAGCUCUCUUCCUCCUCUCCUUAAUUUUGCCUGCUGACCCAAUUUUGUGCUUCCUUUAACAAGACAGUAUCUCCCUAGAAUAACAAUAUGGUUCAGCUCAUACACAACAUCCCUUGCCAUUGCUAAGAUUCAGAAUAUAAUUGAGUUAUAUAUAUAGCUAUUAAUUUCAGGAUCCCUAGGGUUAUGCUGAGACACUGAUGCCUUCCUCCUACAUUAUUUUACAAUGUAUCUUACAGAGAUUGUGGGAACAUUUUAUACAUUUCCAAGUUCUGAUUAAUGAAUCUAUCUGCAGGAAAUAAAGCUCAUAUCAGAGUAUUUUGUUGCAAUUUUACCUUUCCUGUUAAACUUGUUGGCUGUUUGAAAAGUAUAGUUUGUAUAAACUACUCUUGCCAUGAAUUCUCCAUAAGCAGGGUCUCAAGACUCUAACUCUGUCCUUGCCCUGCAGUGUGCUUAGGGGCCAAACACUUCAUAUGUUCUCCUGUUCACAUAUUUGAAAUGUGAUCAAUAGUUGUUGCAUCCUCUAUAAAGAACAUUCACUUCUACCAAUGCAAAGCACUUGUACUGGAACAAGAUGUUCUGAUAACAUUGUGAACUGCCCAUCCUUCCACCUGCUAACUUGGCCUGUUAUGGCACACAUAGUAUCAGUAAUCCAAGCUCUAAAAUGUGCUCAUCUGUUCUGCUUCUCUUCCUGCUUCUUCCACACCAUAAGGCUGGCUUUGCUAUCACAAGAUUUAAGCAAUAAUAACAAGAAUUAGAUCCUUCUGAUGUUUGAGACUUAUGGUUAUGCUCGUGUCUUUUAUUCAGGGCAAUCAGAGAUUUAAGUUCUUAUGUGAAGCUCUGUUUCUAAAAUCCUGCAGUCAAGGCUUUGGCACACACACAGAAUUCCAUAAGUUGUCUAAAAUCACAGCAGUUGGUGCAUAGCCUGCUUUUUAUCACAGUGUAAUUUUACAUUACCCGAUUUCUAGUGUCACAUUCACAUAAAAUUGGAGUUCUUGUAGCUCCAAGUUGAACUCUGAUAUUCUGAACUACUGUGUUCCUUUUGCAAACUGAAUUCAGUUCCCCUCAAGAGGACGAGGGAGUGAGAGGGCGGCUGGGUGAGCAUCUGUCAGCCAGCCAUGGUCAGCAGCCACACAACUGAAGGAAUUCUGCUGCUUAGAAUUUGGUCCUGAACAUUGAUCUUGGUGCCUAGAAGAAUUAGGUGUUAAUUGUGGCAGCUCAAACAGGCCUAAUAUAGCAAAACACCCCACUUUUCUGCAAAAGGCAUGUAUUCUUAAACUAAGCGAAGUACAAACUGCAGAAAGCAUACUUUGUAGCACAAAAUUACCCCAUGCAAUGCAUGCUGCUUCACUUUGCCCCCAGUGUAAUACUUUAAGAAAAGUACCUUUUGAAAUAGAAUACUAAUGAAAUCAUAAUCGCAUCUAUAGAUGUCCUGAGUAUACACUAAUUUUAAAGUAGGCACAGAGAAAAAUGUUACAUGUGUGCUAUUUGGAGACUAAUCUGACCUGAUAAAUAAUUCAUAUGAAACCAAUGAAGCUAUAUGUUUAGUCAGUUUCUUUCUGUAGAUGAUCUGCAGUCCAUUCCAUUUAUCCUCAUACGCUGUUGGCAAGUUUAACUUGUUUCUCAGUAUAUGAUUAAGAAGUGGGGUGAAAGAAGCAUCUUGUUCCCUAUUUUCCUUUUGCAAUUGCCAUGCAUUGUAAGUUCUCCUGCCAGGACAGUCAGUGGAAGCUCAGGUUUUUUAAACUCUUGGGCUUUGGCCUAAACAUUGAACAAUCUCAGUGAUUUAGAGUAUAUUUGCAU